rnacentral:pre_miRNA from 1 species
GGCUAAUAGGCCUGAGAAUUUAGCUCGAACCGAAGCCAUAAUUGCGGUGAGCAAAGUUUCAGGUUUAUUAGCUG